UACAGAGGGUGCAAGCGUUAAUCGGAAUUACUGGGCGUAAAGCGAGCGUAGGUGGCUUGAUAAGUCAGAUGUGAAAGCCCCGGGUUUAACCUGGGAACGGCAUCUGAUACUGUUAGGCUAGAGUAGGUGAGAGGAAGGUAGAAUUCCAGGUGUAGCGGUGAAAUGCGUAGAGAUCUGGAGGAAUACCGAUGGCGAAGGCAGCCUUCUGGCAUCAUACUGACACUGAGGUUCGAAAGCGUGGGUAGCAAACAGG
rnacentral:rRNA from 1 species